UACGUAGGGUGCGAGCGUUAAUCGGAAUUACUGGGCGUAAAGUGUGCGCAGGCGGCCGCGCAAGUCGAGUGUGAAAGCCCCCGGGCUUAACUUGGGAAUUGCGCUCGAAACUACGUGGCUAGAGUGUGGCAGAGGGAGGUGGAAUUCCUGGUGUAGCGGUGAAAUGCGCAGAUAUCAGGAGGAACACCGGUGGCGAAGGCGGGUCUCUGGGCCGUAACUGACGCUGAGGAGCGAAAGCGUGGGAGCGAACAGG
rnacentral:rRNA from 1 species